UCCUUCAGCACACCCGGCCCAAAUCCAUCCUUUCAACAAUACCCAGCAUACAUACAUACAGCAGCAAUACAUACACCCACCCGUCCUCGUCUUCCUCAGUCCAGCGAAUGAAACCCAGAAAUCGUAGCCCGCGUCCCUCUCUUCUUUCCCUUAUUCUUUCCGUACAAGAACAUUCUUGAAUUGUUCAGGUGGAGCCAUCUCCAUGCCCGUUAUCCGUUGAGAAUUGGUACUAUUACAAGCCGUUUGAACCUUAUCCUCCAAGAAUUCGAAAUUCGAAUUUGAAUUAAUUCUAAAGCUCAUCCGAUUUCCCCCCAAAAAUCUUCCCUAAAUCCCCUCUAUUUAAACCCCCUUUUACCUUCAAUUUUGGGGGUGAAAAAAGAUACAAGAAAAAACUGAAAUUCACCAAGCAUAGACAAGCAAAUAUUGAAAUAGAAGUUUGAACGAUAGUGUUUAUAUCAGUGAGAUUUCUGGGUCCUCUGUUUGGAAUUCGAGUUUUCGUCGUUGGUGGUUGAUUAGCUCAUCACCCAAGCUCGUCGUUGUUCCAGUGUUGCUGCCCGGAGAAAGGUAUCCUUUCCUCCAUAACCUUCUCUUCGUCUUCUUCUAUUUCUUAUAUGCCUUGAUACUAUGUUGUUGUGUCACUGUUAUUUGUAGAUGAGAAUUGAUGACUUCGAUUUUCUAUAUAUGUGUUCUUAAUCGAUUUCCUUGAUUCAAUCUUGAUGUGGAAGUCGGGUUUUGCCGUUUUGUAUUUUGUAUUGUCGCCUAUUUGACUCCUCUUCUUGUGAAUCUCUGUUUGUCAGGUUUUACAUUCAGUUUUGCGCUUUCUUUUCAAAAUAAGGAUAGAAUCUUGAAGCAAGGUUGUUUGUAUUAUAUCUAUUGUUUUGUUGAUGUAGUAACUUGUUUUCAAAUCCCCUGACUGUCUUGUUUGAAUCGAAUUUAUGUUUCCAUCUGCCUAAAUGUUUAGUCAAAAGCGCUCACUAUUUGUAGUUAAGCUCAUAAGGUUUGUUGUCCAGAUUGUAGUUUGCUUUCAAAGUCGUUGCCUAUUUCUCUUUUCUGAUCAUGUUGGCCGUGUAUGUUCUUAUUGAGCUCAUAAGCCUAAAAUGUAAUGGGUCAAUCUUUUUCUCUCCCUGCGUGUUUUUUUUCUUGCUUUGUUCUUAUUUAUUUUGGUUAGUAAUCCUCUUAUCUUGUUUGUUGGCCUUAUUGUUCAAUUCAUAAAUGAUUAGAUGUCAACAAUUAGGAAGUCACUGGAAUUUGUUUCAGCAGUUAUUAAAGUAUUACUUAUAUGUUUGCUUUUGUUUUAUUUCAUAGCUACUAAUCAAUCCUUUCCUUACCUUAAAUUGGUCUCUUGUUUAUUUAUGCUAUUUAAUUUCCUAAAGCUGUUACCAUUUAAGUUUGAAGCUUGUCUAAAUAAAAAUGUGCUAAAUAUUGCUUUCCCAAACUUAAUAUAAGUAUAUGAUGACUUUUGGUGCCCUGUCGAUUUUAUUUUAUUUUAUUCAGUCAAGGUUGAUUAUGUAUGCCUCAUGUAUUACCUUAAUUAUGUAUUAACUCCUCUGUUUUCUUUUUAUUUUCUUGGAUGCAUGUGAUGCUGAGUCCACUGGACUCCCCCUUUCUUCCUUUGCAUUGCAUUUUUUAGCCAAACAGGCGCAAAUCUUAUUCUUGCUGAGUCGGAAAUUAAUAUACAGGGCCAGAGCAGAUCGCAACUUAGAAAAGUCCAAGAGAACAGACUGUAUACACUAAAGUAUACACCAUAUACAAGCGUUGGAGGUGAAAACAGGUUGAUAUACAGCCCUUAUACAAUCAGUAUAUACUGAUAUACAGGUCAAAAUACAGAAAGUACUGGGCGAAAACGACAUACAGAUGUUCGAGAGCUGAUUUAGGCGGUAUACAUUUGGGAUACAGUUCAAUAUACAGGAAAAGACCCAAUAAUACAGCCUGCAUACCGAGUAUACAGGCUAAAGCCCAUCCUUUUGCACAACAGGUAGGUCCAAGCAACAACAAUGGGUCAAACGGCCCAAAGAAUAUCCAGCAGUUGAUUAUGAUGGGUCAAAGCCCAUUAUUUUGACUUAUUAUUAGACUUAGGACAGGUUGGGCCAAAGCCCAAAUCUGACAUUGCUCUCCUCUUUUAUUAUUAUUUUGUUUAUUGUAUUAACUCUAUAUUUUUAUCUGAUUUGGUUUAAUCUAAGUAAAUUUUCAAAAGAUAGUCGUUUCUUCUCCUUUAUGUUUAAUUGAAAUAUUUAUAUUUUAUUUAUCA
rnacentral:lncRNA from 1 species